GUGCCAGCAGCCGCGGUAAUACAGGGGGUGCAAACGUUGCUCGGAAUUAUUGGGCGUAAAGCGCGCGUAGGCGGCUACUUAUGUCGGAUGUGAAAGCCCUUGGCUCAACUGAGGAAGUGCACCCGAAACUGAGUAGCUGGAGUACGAAAGAGGGUCGCGGAAUUCCCGGUGUAGAGGUGAAAUUCGUAGAUAUCGGGAGGAACACCGGUGGCGAAGGCGGCGACCUGGGUCGAUACUGACGCUGGAGCGCGAAAGCGUGGGGAGCAAACAGGAUUAGAAACCCCGGUAGUCC
rnacentral:rRNA from 1 species